CCCAGUAGCGAAGGGCGAUCAGAACCGCGGUCGCCUUUCACGAGUACGGUUGCUUAGGUAAUAUACGUUCGUAUGUCGUGUGUGCCUUGCGAGUAGUCAAAAUUGUGGACUUUGGUGCACUCCGGUCGUGUACGGUAAAUAACAUUUAAUAACUCGUUGAAAAAAGACACUGUAUUAUAAUACUCAAACAAUUAUUUUCUUUCGAUUAAAUCAACGAUAAAUAUUUUGUAUAAAUAAUACAUAUGCAGGUGCACGCGUUAUUCGAAUGCCGGUUGUAAACGAUUGCGUGAAUAUACGCUUGUAGUAUAUACAACACAUAUACAAGCUGUUCCUCCAGACUCGUGUUUAACUACUUCGGUAACACAUUGUCGAGACUAUUUAUACUCGUUCGUCAAUCCUUUUUCACAAGCAAUAUUACCGUGAAUGAAAUUGUCGUAUUCAUUAAAUUCGUGAGUGAAAUUAUAAUAUAACGAAAAAUUCUUCUACAUUGUAGUGUGAGACUUUCGCCUUUGCCGGUUUUCACCUUUUGCGAGAGCAUGAUCCUUUCUUUUUCUGCGCCUGUGCUAUAACCAGCAAGUGAACAAGAAAAAGAGGGAGAAGGUGUUGGAGAAGAAGAGACAGAGGAGAGGAACAACGCACGCACGCGGGUACCAUCCAACGUAUACACGUUUUUUCCUAACCGGAACUAUUUCCCUCUCUUCAAGGACAACCACCCAUCGCAGGACAGACAGUUUUGUUCUUCACGUCUAACUACUCCUACGAUAUGAUAAUUUCACUCGUGUAGCUAGCUUAUCCUGUCAGAUUUAUUGAUGAUCUUUAUUGGAGAUUUUUCGAGGAUGACGAGAGGACGAUUCGAAGUAUUUGACGUUAGUCAGAGAGCAUCGAUACGAACUAUCGACCACUUCAUAUUUACUUCGAUGUAUUUAUUAACCUUAUAAAAAUGUAUUGACAUUAUAUUUA
rnacentral:lncRNA from 1 species